AGGGAAAGUUGAAAAGAACUUUGAAGAGAGAGUUCAAGAGUACGUAAAACCGUUCAGGGGUAAACCUGAGAAACCCAAAUGGUCGAAUAGAGGACGAGAUUCAUUUACUUUUUAUCGUAUAUUAACCAACUUGUACGUUAUAUGUGACAAUAAUACAAGUUCAUUUUUUCUGCUCAUAUCUUUUUUAUAUUUUAUUAUUUUUUGUAAUAUGUAUAAUUCAAUUGGUAUGUUGUAUGGAUGAAAUGAAUAAAUUGCACAUUUGUAUGUUGCAGUAUAAUAACGAGGUAUGCACUUCUCGUUCUAUAUAGGACGUCGCGACUCAUUAAAUAUUGAUCUAUAGAAUGUUUUUGUGCAUUGACUGUUAUAUGAAAUGGUUUUCGAAUUAUUUUAUCUAUAUAAUAGAUGCCUACGUUGCUUGAUUAAUUGUUUGAUGGUAUGAAAUAAUUGCAAUUUUAAUGGCCAAGUGUAAUAUUUUUAUAUUACACGUUCAUUUACCAUAGACGAGUUCAAAAUGGGUUACGAUAAAAUUUCCACCUUAACGGGUCGGGGAUUAAAGUAACAUUUUAUUUAUUUUUGGUUUUU
rnacentral:rRNA from 1 species